GUUUUAAUAGUUUAUAAAAAAUUUUGAUUUUGUAAAUCAAAGAAAAAUUAAUUAUUUUUAAAACU
rnacentral:tRNA from 1 species